rnacentral:rRNA from 1 species
UACGGGGGGGGCAAGCGUUGUUCGGAAUUACUGGGCGUAAAGGGCUCGUAGGUGGUCAACUAAGUCGGACGUGAAAUCCCUCGGCUUAACCGGGGAACUGCGUCCGAUACUGGAUGACUUGAGUUCGGGAGAGGGAUGCGGAAUUCCAGGUGUAGCGGUGAAAUGCGUAGAUAUCUGGAGGAACACCGGUGGCGAAGGCGGCAUCCUGGACCGACACUGACGCUGAGGAGCGAAAGCCAGGGGAGCGAACAGG